rnacentral:rRNA from 1 species
GGGGAAUUUUCCGCAAUGGGCGAAAGCCUGACGGAGCAAUGCCGCGUGGAGGAGGAAGGCCUGAGGGUUGUAAACUCCUUUUCUCAGAAAAGAAGAUCUGACGGUAUCUGAGGAAUAAGCAUCGGCUAACUCCGUGCCAGCAGCCGCGGUAAGACGGAGGAUGCAAGCGUUAUCCGGAAUGAUUGGGCGUAAAGCGUCUGUAGGUGGUUUAUUAAGUCUGCUGUUAAAGCACAGGGCUCAANCCCUGUAUGGGCGGUAGAAUGCUGGUAGGCUUGAGUAUGGUAGGGGUAGAGGGAAUUCCCGAUGUAGUGGUGAAAUGCAUUGAUAUCGGGAAGAACACCAAAGGCGAAAGCAUCUCUGCUGGGCGCAAUACUGACAUCUGAGAGACGAAAGCUAGGGGAGCAAAUGGGAUUAGAUACCCCAUGUAGUC